ACCAAGCUUCCAGGAAAAGCCACUAAGCUUCAGUCUAGAGUUGACCGUACCGCAAACCGACACAGGUGGGCAGGAUGAAAAUUCUAAGGCGCUUGAGAGAACUCAGGAGAAGGAACUCGGCAAAUUAACACCGUAACUUCGGGAGAAGGUGUGCCCCGGUAGCGUGUAGAGACUUGCUCUCGAAGCGCGAUGGGGUUGCAGUGAAAUGGUGGCUGCGACUGUUUAAUAAAAACACAGCACUCUGCAAACACGAAAGUGGACGUAUAGGGUGUGACGCCUGCCCGGUGCCGGAAGGUUAAGUGAUGGGGUGCAAGCUCUUGAUCGAAGCCCCGGUAAACGGCGGCCGUAACAAUAACGGUCCUAAGGUAGCGAAAUUCCUUGUCGGGUAAGUUCCGACCUGCACGAAUGGCGUAACGAUGGCCACACUGUCUCCUCCUGGGACUCAGCGAAGUUGAAAUGUUUGUGAAGAUGCAAUCUACCCGCGGCUAGACGGAAAGACCCCAUGAACCUUUACUGUAGCUUUGCAUUGGACUUUGAACCGGUUUGUGUAGGAUAGGUGGGAGACUGUGAAGCCGGGACGCUAGUUUCGGUGGAGUCAACCUUGAAAUACCACCCUGAUUUGUUUGAGGUUCUAACCUUGGUCCGUGAAUCCGGAUCGGGGACCGUGCAUGGUAGGCAGUUUGACUGGGGCGGUCUCCUCCCAAAAGGUAACGGAGGAGUACGAAGGUACGCUUAGGGCGGUCGGACAUCGCCCACAAAGUGCAAUGGCAAAAGCGUGCUUGACUGCGAGACCCACAAGUCGAGCAGGUACGAAAGUAGGUCAUAGUGAUCCGGUGGUUCUGUAUGGAAGGGCCAUCGCUCAACGGAUAAAAGGUACUCUGGGGAUAACAGGCUAAUUCCUCCCAAGAGUUCAUAUCGACGGGGGAGUUUGGCACCUCGAUGUCGGCUCAUCACAUCCUAGGGCUGUAGUCGGUCCCAAGGGUAUGGCUGUUCGCCAUUUAAAGUGGUACGCGAGCUGGGUUUAAAACGUCGUGAGACAGUUUGGUCCCUAUCUGCCGUGGGCGCUGGAAAUUUGAAGGGGGCUACUCCUAGCACGAGAGGACCGGAGUGGACGAACCUCUGGUGUACCGGUUAUGACGCCAGUCGUAUCGCCGGGUAGCUAAGUUCGGAAGAGAUAAACGCUGAAAGCAUCUAAGCGUGAAACUCGCCUUAAGAUAAGAUUUCCCGGAGUCUUGAACUCCCUGAGGGGUCGUCGAAGACCACGACGUUGAUAGGUCAGGUGUGGAAGCGCAGCAAUGCGUUAAGCUAACUGAUACUAAUUGCCCGUGUGGCUUGAUCCU
rnacentral:rRNA from 1 species